rnacentral:rRNA from 1 species
CGGGUGCACUGAUCCAGCCGGGCCUUUCCCUCUGUGGAACCCCAUGGCCUUCACUGGCUGUGGCGGGGAAACAGGACUUUUACUUUGAAAAAAUUAGAGUGCUCCAGGCAGGCCUAUGCUCGAAUACAUUAGCAUGGAAUAAUAGAAUAGGACGUGUGGUUCUAUUUUGUUGGUUUCUAGGACCGCCGUAAUGAUUAAUAGGGACAGUCGGGGGCAUCAGUAUUCAAUUGUCAGAGGUGAAAUUCUUGGAUCUAUUGAAGACUAACUACUGCGAAAGCAUUUGCCAAGGAUGUUUUCAUUGAUAAGGAACGAAAGUUAGGGGAUCGAAGACGAUCAGAUACCGUCGCAGUCUUAACUAUAAACUAUGCCGACUAGGGAUCGGACGAUGUUAUUCUUUGACGCGUUCGGCACCUUUCGAGAAAUCAAAGUGCUUGGGCUCCAGGGGGAGUAUGGUCGCAAGGCUGAAACUUAAAGAAAUUGACGGAAGGGCACCACCAGGGGUGGAACCUGCGGCUUAAUUUGACUCAACACGGGGAAACUCACCAGGUCCAGACACAGUGAGGAUUGACAGAUUGAGAGCUCUUUCUUGAUUCUGUGGGUGGUGGUGCAUGGCCGUUCUUAGUUGGUGGAGUGAUUUGUCUGCUUAAUUGCGAUAACGAACGAGACCUUAACCUGCUAAAUAGCCCGUACUGCUUUGGCAGUUCGCCGGCUUCUUAGAGGGACUAUCGG